rnacentral:rRNA from 1 species
GACAGAGGCCUCAAGCGUUAGGCGGAAUCACUGGGCUUAAAGCGUGUGUAGGCGGAUCGUUAAGUGUCUUGUGAAAUCCCACGGCUCACCCGUGGAACUGCUGGGCAUACUGGCGAUCUUGGGCCAACUAGGGGCAACUGGAACAAGCGGUGGAGCGGUGAAAUGACGUAGAUAUCGCUUGGAACGCCAAAGGUGAAAACAGGUUGCUGGGGUUGUGCCGACGCUGA